CCGCCCCCGCGCCGAGUCCCAGCGCCUUCCGCAGGGCCGAGGGGUCGUCGCCAGCUCACCGGCAGCAGAGCCGGGCGGACCGCGCCCAGGGCUGACUCACAACGCGCUCACUGCUGACCUCGCUCAGGCUGAGCUACAAGACCUGGAGCAACUCAGCUGCUUCCGAAAACGGAGAUAAACUUCUACUAAAUACCAUCUGAGCCUAUUCCUGCACAAAAGAGAGACUGAAGAAAAGAAAUUUGGGCCAAAUUCCAUAUUCCUGUCCUCUUUCAUGGCAGAAAAUUGGUCAAAGGCACCACAGUAGCAUGAAACUGAAAAGGAGUAGCAUCACCUACUGAAUGUUUAAGGUCCCUGCCCAUGCCUAUGCUGUUCUUCUCCCCAGAAUGCCUAGCCACCUAAUAAGUAGCUCUAUCACCCUUCCUUUACCCACCCUCCAGUUUGAGCCCUUUUCCCAGUCACCCUAUCCAUGCUUCAGGAGGCACCAAAAGUCUAUAUAGUAAGUACACCAAAGUGAUACACAGCAGCAUAAAGCCAUAGUGAACUGAGAGAACUCACUGGGAAAAAAAUCAACCAAUCUGGGAACCUCUAGAUACCGGUCCUCAGCUGCACCCAGCUUGUGGCCCCAACAUGGACUGAUUUACUCUCAGACAGUAUUAACUGGCAUAAGUAGUUAGUUAUCCAAACUUGAGUGCCAACUUUAAGAGGGCCAUUCAGCUUUGAUAUGAUUCCAUAACAACUACCUUUAUCGGGCGCCUACAACAAUCUGGCCACCUGCUUCAUGCUUACCAUCCCUACCCCACAAAUGAGGAAACUGAGACUCAAAGAAGUUAGGCCACUUGGAGUUAAACCACUUCCCUGAGGUCGCAGAGCCAGCAAGUGUCAGAAUCCGGAUACAAACCCAAGUCUUUCUGGCUCUAAAGUUUCUACUGCACAGAGGGUACUUUUACAAAGUAAUAAAGACAAAUAAUAGUAAACCAUUCUUCAAGAACACACUCUUGCAGAAGGACGUUGCUAAUGUCUGCUUCCUUGAGUUCUAUACACAUCUCCAGAGCAGCCCUCUACAGGCAAGCUCCUGCAGGAAACACUGUGAUAAUGCAACAGAAAACCAUCCUGUUGGCUACCCUGCCAGAUAGUCCUAAGUUUGUAGGUACAUUAGCUGAGCCCCCAAAACUGCCAAGUGCAAGUCCACUGGUGGAUCGCAGCUCUAACAAAGCAGCUUACCAAGAAAAAAAAAGUGAGAAUUUGAAUGUAUUUUCUAUACUCAAGUUGGGGCCCAAGAACUCUGCUGGAGGGCAAGGGAACAGGAAGUGAGGAGGGAGCAAGCAUCCACUUCCCAAGGGCAGCAAAGCCCAGAGGUGGGAGCCUGGUCACAUGCAGUUGCAUUACUUGUCCACGCCCACUUCCGGCCAGAGCCUGCCUCUUCACCUCUAAGUCAGUACUUUGAAGGAAAGCAAAACACUACCAGAAACUCUUCCUUAUACUCUCUCUCUCCUCUUGAAGCAUGUGUCUUGAAUGAAUUUCCACCCCUGCUCUCCGGCUCCACCCCUCACAAAUACACUUAAGAAAAGCAUCUGUCACAUAAUUGACCUAUGUGGCUUAACAUCAAAUCUGACAUCAUGGAAAGGUUAAGGUUAGUGCUUCUCCAACCCCAGUAUAAGAGGGAACCCUAGGGCAGAGGGAACUGUGCACCAACAACCUACUAAUGCACAACAAAGUAGUCUAUCUAUUUGAAAGCUCACUACUCUUUCCCAUACCAUAAACAACAGCCAAGCACUCUGCUUGUCUGAAUUUUCUUUUAAGAUUUCAAACAAGGCGAGAGGGCUUUUAGAGCUGUUUAUCUCUGUGCAUAACAUACACUGCCAUGAAGAAAUGCCACAGGAUUCCAAAAACACACUGCCACUGACUUCAAGAAAAGCGAAGCUGAAAAUGCUCCUGCCAGUGACCAUCCCAGAUUCUCUUUUUUCUCAAAGAUUAUAGUCACAGUCAUCCUGAAUCAACUAGUGCCAACAGCCAACAAUCACCCAGGAAAAUGCCAUGAUUUUUGCCUCCUUUAAGAUGGAGGAAACAGAAGCAGAGUCCAGUGAGUAAAUUAGAGUAGUAGUGAGGUUUCACUUCUAAACCUCCAAGAAACUCCACCCCAAACUCCCAACAUCCAGGGAUAUUCCCAAAGAAGCUCUGCAAUAGUCUUUCAUUUGAUUGUUUUCUUCUCUGUGACUGGGAUUAAGUUCCUUGAGAGCUGACUUCAUCUAUCCUACUCACUGUUAGGCUGCCAGCACCCAGCAUGGUAAACCUGGUGCAACGUCAUCACACAAACAUUUACUGCUGGAUUAUUUGCUGAUAUAGGAAGUUACAUGAGCCAGAAUAUUUAACACUAUUUUUCAAUCCAAUUUAAGUUGCGUUAA